AAGAAGAUGGAAGAAAAGGUGGCCUCUAGAAGCAGGAAAAGGCAAGGAAACCAAUUCUUCCCUAGAGGCUAUAGAUGGAAUGAUGUUUUCCUGACACCUUGACUUUAGACCAGUGAGACGUGUGUUGGACUUCUGAACCUACAGAACUGCACAUUGCAGAGCUGAGAGCCUGAAACCACUCAACUCCCAGAUGGAACCAAGAAAUCUUGUUGCUCCAUUGUUGCUGGUUGCCCUAGUGGAUGCCUGAGGACAAUGAGAACAUGCUAAUGAGGGCAGAGCUGAGUGAAUACCAGAGAAACAGAGCCAAAGCCCGUGCCUGGAGUGUGGACAUCCUGUUACAGGAAAUAAUAUUUUUCCUUAUUGUUUAAAACGUUUUGAGUCAAUUGUCUGUAUCUUUUAGCCCAAAGCAUUCUAACUAAUUUAGCUCUCAGUAAAUAUUUGUUAAACAAUUUGUUAAAUGAAUGGAUAAGGGUAAAAGUGAGUGGGAAGAAAGCCAGGGAGGCUGGGAGGAGAGGAGAGGGGUUGGUCAGUGGAGAACUCCGAUUUCUUGAGCCAGGAGUGGAUUCCUGGACGGGGCCCCUGGCCAACGAGCUGCUGUGAAUGUUGCCCUGGCAGGAGACUGUGAGGGGCCUAUCUAAGUCCCCAGGAGCUGCAUUGGGAGAGUGCUCAUCAGAGUCCAUGUGAGUGGGAACUGAACACUGCCUGCACCCCAGGCUCGCUCCAGGGUUCAGUCUGCAGGAGCAUGAUGCCGUUCACUUUCAUUUGUUAAUUUAUUUACUAGAACUGCGGAUCCUGUGAGAUCGAGUACUUUAUCUACUUUGUUUAUUCCUGAAUCCUCUCAAUGCCUAGAAGAGGGUCUGCCACAAGGAAAGGAACAUCCUUAUCUCCAAAGAGAAAGGGACCGAGAGAAGAAUCCUAACAAACAGGCCAUGCUAAGUUCCCCCAUUUUACCGCAAUGACCUCAUACUCCUUAACCUAUCCUGUUCCUCCAUGGCUGUCCAUCCAUCGUCAGACCUAGCGCUAAAGUCCACAGGUCUAACUGUUUCUUUGGGUCUUCAUUUCCUUAUGAAGGCUUUUGUGUUAUGUAAAAUUAAUUAAAUAAAUUUGUA
rnacentral:lncRNA from 1 species